UUACAGUGAGUCCCAUGCCUGACCU
rnacentral:miRNA from 1 species